GACGAACGCUGGCGGCGUGCCUAAUACAUGCAAGUCGAGCGAAUGGAAGGGAGCUUGCUCCCUGAAGUUAGCGGCGGACGGGUGAGUAACACGUGGGCAACCUGCCUGUAAGACUGGGAUAACUUCGGGAAACCGGAGCUAAUACCGGAUACGUUCUUUCCUCGCAUGAGGAAAGAUGGAAAGAUGGUUUCGGCUAUCACUUACAGAUGGGCCCGCGGCGCAUUAGCUAGUUGGUGGGGUAAUGGCCUACCAAGGCGACGAUGCGUAGCCGACGUGAGAGGGUGAUCGGCCACACUGGGACUGAGACACGGCCCAGACUCCUACGGGAGGCAGCAGUAGGGAAUCUUCCGCAAUGGACGAAAGUCUGACGGAGCAACGCCGCGUGAGCGAAGAAGGCCUUCGGGUCGUAAAGCUCUGUUGUCAGGGAAGAACAAGUGCCAGAGUAACUGCUGGCACCUUGACGGUACCUGACCAGAAAGCCACGGCUAACUACGUGCCAGCCGCCGCCGUAAGAC
rnacentral:rRNA from 1 species